UUUCUUUUUGUUUUAGAUUUGACUUUUGUCAUGCAUUAUAGUAAGAGAAUACCGUAGACAUCAACACUUCCAAUAAAUGUGCAGUGAGCAAAAUCCCUGAAAAAAGCAGUUACUGUUCCUCAUGCUGAGUGGACUGCCAAGCAAAUGGUGUCUUUGCCUGAAUCAUCAAGAGAUCUCCUUAGUCUCAGUUUUUGCAAGAGUCCUCAAAUCGUCACAGGAUGUCAUGCAACUUUCUCAUUCACUCCUCAAAGUCAUCUGUCAGAUGUUAAGUGAAAUGCUCCGGAGCAAUAUUAUACAAACUUAAGGAAGGACAAAAGUAGCACACAACAUGAGAAUAUACAGUUCUCAGUUUCAUUGUUAUUUUGCUUUUUGUGGUUUGUUGCUGUAAUAUGAUAUCUGCUCUCAUUACACAAAAAUUAAUGGCAAAACUUCCCUUCCUAAGAUGAGACUAGCAAUUUCCAGGAAUUCCACAUCAACAGCAGCAGGCAAAACCCCAAUUUCUAGACAAGUUGAAAAGUUGGCAAAAAUAACCAAUUGUAUUUUUAGCAUUUAUUCUUCCAUCUUAUAAGAAACGUUUAUUAUAAAUAGCCAGCUCCCACUGAAUCCCAGGGCUAUGGAUCAAAUUUUACCUCACUGUUAUUGCUGCAAAACCAGUAUAAUUCCAUUUAUUGUAAGAGAUUUAUGUCUAAUUUGUAGCAUGUGUUUUGCAUCAAGGCCAAAAUUUGACAGCACAGUGAAUUUGCCUGAUAUGCCAUCAUGUACAAAUAGUGCAGGGACCUGGCUACAACCUGGCUGUGUAAUUAUUGCUUGGCCAAUUAGAUACUGACUCUAGGGAACCUGCUUUAUCAAGGGGGGCGGACAGGAUAAUCUCCUGUGAUCUCUUCCAAUGCCUGUACUUCUGUGAUACUCUUGACUGCUGGAAAUAAAACUAAUGAGCAACUGAA